rnacentral:tRNA from 1 species
GGUGGCUCAGUGGUAGAGUGUUUGCCUCGCAUGCAUAAGGCUCUGGGUUCAAUUCCUCAGUACCA